UACGGAGGGUGCAAGCGUUAAUCGGAAUUACUGGGCGUAAAGCGUGCGCAGGCGGUUUGUUAAGUCCGUUGUGGAAGCCCCGAGCUCAACUUGGGAAUUGCAGUGGAUACUGGCAGGCUGGAGUCUGGCAGAGGGGGGUAGAAUUCCACGUGUAGCAGUGAAAUGCGUAGAGAUGUGGAGGAACACCGAUGGCGAAGGCAGCCCCCUGGGUCAAGACUGACGCUCAUGCACGAAAGCGUGGGGAGCAAACAGG
rnacentral:rRNA from 1 species